GAAGGUGGAUCGUAAGGUUUGCUGGAGGUAUCAGAAGUGCGAAUGCUGACAUGAGUAACGACAAAGGGGGUGAAAAACCUCCUCGCCGGAAGACCAAGGGUUCCUGUCCAACGUUAAUCGGGGCAGGGUGAGUCGACCCCUAAGGUGAGGCCGAAAGGCGUAAUCGAUGGGAAACGGGUUAAUAUUCCCGUACUUCUGACUAUUGCGAUGGGGGGACGGAGAAGGCUAGGUGGGCCAGGCGACGGUUGUCCUGGUUCAAGUGCGUAGGCUUGAGAGUUAGGUAAAUCCGGCUCUCUCUAAGGCUGAGACACGACGUCGAGCUGCUACGGCAGUGAAGUCAUUGAUGCCAUGCUUCCAGGAAAAGCCUCUAAGCUUCAGAUAGUCAGGAAUCGUACCCCAAACCGACACAGGUGGUCGGGUAGAGAAUACCAAGGCGCUUGAGAGAACUCGGGUGAAGGAACUAGGCAAAAUGGUACCGUAACUUCGGGAGAAGGUACGCUCUUGAUGGUGAAGUCCCUCGCGGAUGGAGCUGACGAGAG
rnacentral:rRNA from 1 species